rnacentral:rRNA from 1 species
UACGGGGGGUGCAAGCGUUGUCCGGAUUUAUUGGGUUUAAAGGGUGCGUAGGCGGUCUAUUAAGUCGGUGUUAAAAUACAGCAGCUUAACUGUUGAACUGGCAUCGAUACUGAUGGACUUGAGUGUGAUUGAGGUUGGCGGAAUUUAUGGUGUAGCGGUGAAAUGCAUAGAUACCAUAAAGAACACCGAUAGCGAAGGCAGCUAACCAAGCCACUACUGACGCUGAGGCACGAAAGCGUGGGGAGCAAACAGG